rnacentral:rRNA from 1 species
UCGCCUGUUUAUCAAAAACAUGGUUUCUUGUAGAGUUUAAGAAAUUUAACCUGCCCACUGAUGAAUUGAUUUGAAGGGCCGCAGUAUUUUGACUGUGCAAAGGUAGCAUAAUCAUUAGUCUUUUAAUUGGGGACUGGAAUGAAUGGUUGGACGAGGUAAAAACUAUCUUAUAAUGAUUAUUUUGAAUUUAGAUUUUAAGUAAAAAUACUUAAAUUUGGUUGAGGGACGAGAAGACCCUAUAGAGUUUUAUAUAGUAAAUUUAUAACUGUGUUAAUGAAAAUUAUUUGGAGUUAAUGUUUAUUGUAUUUGAUUGGGGUGAUUAAAAGAUAAAAGUAACUCUUUUUUGGUAUAAAUAAUAUUAAUAAUUAAGGGAUCCAUAGUUGAUGAUUUUAAGGUUAAAUUACCUUAGGGAUAACAGCAUAAUUUUUUUUGAAAGUUCUUAUUGAAAAAAAAGAUUAUGACCUCGAUGUUGGAUUAAGAUAAAUUUUGGGCGAAGAGGUUUAAUGAUUAGGUCUGUUCGACCUUUAAUUUCUUACAUGAUCUGAGUUCAAACCGGAGA